CCCCCAGCCCGCCGCCCAAGGGAGCGACAGCACUUCCCGCCUCCCGGCGGCGCCCGGGGAGGCGAGGCGGGCCGUGGCGCUUCUGAGAGGCGGCAGGAGGGCGCCGCUUCUGGGUGGGGUGGAGCGGGCCGGGCCGGGCCGGGCCGGGCCAGGCCAGGCCUCCGCCUCCUGCCCCUCCAGCGCGCCGGGGAGGCCUCCGCUCUCCAGCCGGGACCGGCCGCGCUGCGGAGGUCCGGCGGGAGGGCUCUCCCGUGGGAAUGGUGGGGUCCCGGAAAGCCCGAGAGUCGGCGUCUGGGAGGGAGCGGGGCUGCUAGCGGUUCCGAGCAGCCCCGGGUGCGUGUGAGCCGCCGGGGGAGCGGCGCUGCCGAGGCCUUUGCCCGUCCCCUCAGGGCCGCGGCGGUGUGGGAGGCCGUGGGAAUGCCCUGCGGGCCGGCGGCAUCUCCUCCACUGGCAGCUGGGCCUUCGCGGACCCUGCGGCGGUCGUGCCUUCUCUCUUGUGCUGCGGCCUCUUGCACGGCUGCAUGUGAUUAACAGUCUGCAGAGUGUUUGAAGGAAUAGUUGGAAAUCCUGCUGAAAAAAUGAUACCGUUUCUCACAACAUACGAGACCAACCUUCUUCCGUGGAAGUGAGAAAAGCAAACUUUUGGUGACACUCGCGCCCUCGAUUAUGCAAGCUGACAGUGGCGAAAGAGAGUCAGAUUUAUAAAGCAGGAAACUGCUCAGCAGAGGAGUUUUGAAGGAUUUAGAGAAUUGCCUGGUGGUACUGAGCCCAUGACAGAGAGGACAAACUUGUCAUCGUUGGGCAGCCUCUCCCUGGAGCCACAAAGAUGAUGCCCUUAAAGGCUUCUAAAGUCAGCUCAAAUCCUGCCCUGGCAGAAUCUUUCCUUCUGUCUGCUGGAACCCUGAAUGUGAUCUACGCUGCAUACUUCAUGUGGUCCCUGCACUGGUGAAUUCCUUUGUAUGACCUGGGGCUAUAUGCAGAAUACCUGGUCAAGUCUUUUAUUCAGUUUGAUGAAAAGAGCCCUGACACAGCCAAGCAUUUAGCUGAAUGAGCAUUUCAUUAUGAAUAGCACAAAUAUUUGAAUUCAAGUAUAUGUCAACAGCCAUCGAUUGAAACUUCAUAAUGAAUGCCUGUGGAAACUAAAGGUAGAUGAAAGAAGAGAAGAAGAUUCUUUGUAGGGCUAAGUUAGGGUACCACGACAACCCUGCUUCCUGUGAGCAGAUCAGCUAUGUUCUGCAGGAAGCCAGCAAUGUGCAGACGCUAGUAUUCUGCUUAGCCCCUGCAUCACAGUAACAGUAAGGUGGUUAUGGUGAAAGCAGGCUGAAAAUUCACAUCACCUACUAAAAGGUGGUCACGUAAAAGAACGUGGUCUAACUGCCCAGAACUGGUGGGCUGAGUGACUGCAGGAGAAGGGUUUAU